CCUACGGGUGGCAGCAGUGGGGGAUAUUGCACAAUGGGGGGAACCCUGAUGCAGCGACGCCGCGUGGGUGAAGGAGCGUUUCGGCGCGUAAAGCCCUAUCGGCAGGGAAGAAGGAGGACGGUACCUGACUAAGAAGCCCCGGCUAACUACGUUCCAGCAGCAGCGGUAAUACGUAGGGGGCAAGCGUUAUCCGGGUUUACUGGGUGUAAAGGGGGCGCAGACGGCAGCGCAAGCCAGGAGUGAAAGCCCGGGGCCCAACCCCGGGACUGCUCUUGGAACUGCGCGGCUGGAGUGCAGGAGGGGCAGGCGGAAUUCCUGGUGUAGCGGUGAAAUGCGUAGAUAGCACGAAAAACUCCGAUUGCGAAGGCAGUUCACUGGACUGCAACUGACACUGAGGCUCGAAAGUGUGGGUAUCAAACAGGAUUAGAUACCCCUGUAGUC
rnacentral:rRNA from 1 species